UCGGUUGAUCCCGCCGGAGGCUACCGCUAUUGGAGUUCGAUUAAGCCAUGCGAGUCGCGAGUCUUAGGGACUCGGCGUACCGCUCAGUAACACGUGGGUAACCUGCCCUAUGCUGGGGGAUAACCUCGGGAAACUGAGAAUAAUACCCCAUAGUUCACCACGCCUGGAACGGUGGGUGGAUCAAAGCUCCGGCGGCAUAGGAUGGGCCUGCGGCGUAUCAGGUUGUAGGGGGUGUAAUGUACCCUCUAGCCCUCUACGCGUACGGGUGUUGAGAGACAUCGCCCGGAGAUGGAUUCUGAGACACGAAUCCAGACCCCACGGGGUGCAGCAGGCGCGAAAACUUGGCAAUGCGAGAAAUCGUGACCAGGGAACUCCAAGUGCAUCGGGUAAGACCGAUGCUUUUCUUGACUCUUCAAAGGUCUUGGAAUAAGGGGUGGGUAAGGACGGUGCCAGCCGCCGCGGUAAUACCGGCGCCCCAAGUGGUAGUCGCUUUUAUUGGGCCUAAAACGUCCGUAGCCGGUCUGGUACAUUCGUGGGUAAAUCAACCAGCUCAACUGGUUGAAUUCUGCGAGCACGGCCAGACUUGGGACCGGGAGAGGUGUGGGGUACUCUCAGGGUAGGGGUAAAAUCCUGUCAUCCUGAGAGGACCACCUGUUGCGAAGGCGCCACACUAGAACGGAUCCGACGGUCAGGGACGAAGCCUAGGGGCACGAACCGGAUUAGAUACCCGGGUAGUCCUAGGUGUAAACGCUGUGGACUUGAUGUUGGGGGCGCUCCGAGCGCACUCAGUGUCGAAGCGAAGGUGAUAAGUCCACUGCCUGGGGAGUACGGUCGCAAGGCUGAAACUUAAAGGAAUUGGCGGGGGAGCACCGCAACCUGAGGAUUGUGCGGUUUAAUUGGAUUCAACGCCGG
rnacentral:rRNA from 1 species